UGGACCGUUUCGACACAAAAUCAUCUGUUAUAACCCCAAACUUACUAAUCCGUUUCAUCUUCUCUAUGUAGUUAGUGAUGCAGAUGCUUUGUGGCUUGAGAUAUGGUUCGUAGUAUCAUGGAUCUUUGAUUAAUUUACCGAAUGGUUCCCAAUCAAACAUGAAAUAUACCUUGAUUAUUUGUCUCUGAGGUAUGAAAAAAGAUCACCAUUUGAGUUGGCUCCCUUAGAUAUUUUGGUGAGUACAGUUGACCCAAUGAAAGAACCACCCUUUAUUACUUCAAACACGGUGUUAUCAAUCUUAGCAGUUGAUUAUUCAGUGGAUAAAGUUGCUUGUUAUGACUCUGAUGAUGGUGUUGUCAUGCUGCCAUGCUUACAUUUGAAGCUUUGUCAGAAACAUCGACAUUUAAGUUUAGCAUCAAGCUGUGUGCUUCUGAGUGGUGUUUUGCCCAAAAGUUUGGUAUCUUAAAGACAAAGUUCACCCCGCAUUUUUCUGGGAACGUCGUGCAAUAAAGGAUUAUGAAGAGUUCAAGAUUCAGAUAUCAUUUCAAUGACGCAAAAGGUCAACAACACAUCUCUUACCUCCACCCCUAUUUAUUUUCUCAUUUUUUGUUUUACAUUCUUCUUAUUUGGGGAUUGCUUGAUUUCUUUCUCGUGAUUCUUUGGCGGUAUAAUUCCUUAUUCUUCCAUAUCGUUUUUAGUGGUGGCGUGUGUUUUCCUUUAGGGUGUGUGGAGGGUGUCUUGCAACAGGUCUAUGGUAAUAAAUUCCAAACAAAUUGUUUUAGAUAACCCAUCCUAGAUUGCGCCUUCUGUUUUCCUCAAGAAUGAUGCAAAUGGGUCUGGAAAGGGGAAUAAAGCUUGAUGGAGUGGUAUGUGUUGGAAAACCGGAGCUAUGAUGUUAAAAUAUUAACUUAACAAUUUUUGGGUGCGGGUGAGGUUCGAUCUCAUUGGUGUGUGUCUUGGUGAUAGGACUAUACCAUUAUGGGUUUGGUUUUAUGCAUGUGUUUGGUGUGCACGCUAAAAAGGGCUACUGCAGGAUUCUGAAUUAUUGGCGUUCACAUGUUUUUGGCGGUAUAGUUCUUUGGUAUCCUUUUCGUGUUGGCGUGUGAUUUACUUCUUUGGGGGGGGGGGGCUGCAAAAGGUUUUUAGCAUUUGUUUUCAACAUACUUUCUGUUAAUACAAUUUAGAUUGCAUCAUUUGUUAAUUCCACAUGGGUUGGGAGCUUUGGGUAUUGUCUUGGGGUGAGUGAGUUUGGUGGCGUGUCAAUACCGUAAAUUGUUUUUUCGAAAGUU